GGAUAACGUGCCCUAAGGUGGAGCAUAACCCCGGGAAACUGGGGAUAAUACUCCAUAGGUUAGAGAUACUGGAAUGUUCUUUAAUCGAAAGUUCCGGCGCCUUAGGAUGGAUCUGCGGCCUAUCAGGUAGUAGUGGGUGUAAUGUACCUACUAGCCGACGACGGGUACGGGUUGUGAGAGCAAGAGCCCGGAGAUGGAUUCUGAGACAUGAAUCCAGGCCCUACGGGGCGCAGCAGGCGCGAAAACUUUACAAUGCGGGAAACCGCGAUAAGGGGACACUGAGUGCCAGCACCAUGUGUUGGCUGUCCGCAUGUAUAAAUAACAUGUGUUAGCAAGGGCCGGGCAAGACCGGUGCCAGCCGCCGCGGUAACACCGGCGGCCCGAGUGGUGGCCAUUAUUAUUGGGUCUAAAGGGUCCGUAGCCGGUUUGAUCAGUCUUCCGGGAAAUCUGACAGCUCAACUGUUAGGCUUCUGGGGGAUACUGUCAGACUUGGAACCGGGAGAGGUAAGAGGUACUACAGGGGUAGGAGUGAAAUCUUGUAAUCCUUGUGGGACCACCAGUGGCGAAGGCAUCUUACCAGAACGGCUUCGACAGUGAGGGACGAAAGCUGGGGGAGCAAACCGGAUUAGAUACCCGGGUAGUCCCAGCCGUAAACGAUGUGCGCUAGGUGUGUCAGUGACCACGAGUCGCUGAGGUGCCGAAGGGAAACCGUGAAACGCACCGCCUGGGAAGUACGGUCGCAAGGCUGAAACUUAA
rnacentral:rRNA from 1 species